UUUUUGAUGCUUUUGUCCGCCUUUUUUAGACCAACCAUUUUCCAUUCGCCCUUGGAAUGUACCAAUUCAUAUAUAAGUACACAGAUGCCUGUAUUGUCCGAUGGAUGCCGCAGCUGGGUAACUGUGGUAAUUCUAGAGCUAAUACAUGCAAUAUAAACACGGACCAAUGGAACGUGCGCUUUUAUUAGGCUAAAACCAAGCGACCUUUUUGGUCGUAUACUGGUUGAACUCUAGAUAACUUGCAGAUCGUAUGGUCUUGUACCGACGACAUAUCUUUCAAAUGUCUGCCCUAUCAACUUUUGAUUGUAGUAUUUAGGACUACCAUGGUUGCAACGGGUAACGGGGAAUCAGGGUUCGAUUCCGGAGAGGGAGCCUGAGAAACGGCUACCACAUCUAAGGAAGGCAGCAGGCGCGUAAAUUACCCACUCCCAGCUCGGGGAGGUAGUGACGAAAAAUAACAAUACAGGGCUCAUAUACGAGGCCCUGUAAUUGGAAUGAGUACACUUUGAAUCCUUUGACAAGGACCUAUUGAAGGGAGAGCCAGCAGACGCAGUAACUUCAGCUCCAAU
rfam:Glossina fuscipes fuscipes unplaced genomic scaffold Scaffold820, whole genome shotgun sequence.